UACGAAGGGUGCAAGCGUUACUCGGAAUUACUGGGCGUAAAGCGUGCGUAGGUGGUUUGUUAAGUCUGAUGUGAAAGCCCUGGGCUCAACCUGGGAAUUGCAUUGGAUACUGGCAGGCUAGAGUGCGGUAGAGGAUGGCGGAAUUCCCGGUGUAGCAGUGAAAUGCGUAGAGAUCGGGAGGAACAUCUGUGGCGAAGGCGGCCAUCUGGAUCAACACUGACGCUGAAGCACGAAAGCGUGGGGAGCAAACAGG
rnacentral:rRNA from 1 species